AACCAUCGGCCGGGAAUGGAGCCCGGGGCGCCCGCGUGGCAGGCGAGCAUUCUACCACUGAACCAAAGGCAAACGGU
rnacentral:tRNA from 1 species